GAUGAACGCUGGCGGCGUGCCUAAUACAUGCAAGUCGAGCGAACAGACGAGGCGCUUGCUCCUCUGACGUUAGCGGCGGACGGGUGAGUAACACGUGGAUAACCUACCUAUAAGACUGGGAUAACUUCGGGAAACCGGAGCUAAUACCGGAUAAUAUAUUGAACCGCAUGGUUCAAUAGUGAAAGACGGUUUUGCUGUCACUUAUAGAUGGAUCCGCGCCGCAUUAGCUAGUUGGUAAGGUAACGGCUUACCACGGCGACGAUGCGUAGCCGACCUGAGAGGGUGAUCGGCCACACUGGAACUGAGACGCGGUCCAGACGCCUACGGGAGGCAGCAGUAGGGAAUCGUCCGCAAUGGGCGAAAGCUUGACGGAGCAACGCCGCGUGUGUGAUGAAGGUCUUCGGAUCGUAAAACUCUGUUAUUAGGGAAGAACAAAUGUGUAAGUAACUAUGCACGUCGUGACGGUACCUAAUCAGAAAGCCACGGCUAACUACGUG
rnacentral:rRNA from 1 species